rnacentral:rRNA from 1 species
GUGCCAGCAGCCGCGGUAAUACGUAGGUGGCAAGCGUUGUCCGGAAUUAUUGGGCGUAAAGCGCGCGCAGGCGGUCCCUUUAAGUCUGAUGUGAAAGCSCACGGCUCAACCGUGGAGGGUCAUUGGAAACUGGGGGACUUGAGCGCAGAAGAGGAAAGUGGAAUUCCAUGUGUAGCGGUGAAAUGCGUAGAGAUGUGGAGGAACACCAGUGGCGAARGCGACUUUCUGGUCUGUAACUGACGCUGAGGCGCGAAAGCGUGGGGAGCAAACAGGAUUAGAUACCCUGGUAGUCC